rnacentral:rRNA from 1 species
CCUAGGGGUGGACAGCGGUGAGGAAUAUUGGUCAGUGGCCGGAAGGCUGCACCAGCCAAGCCGCGUGAAGGACGAAGGUGCCAAGCAGUGUAAACUUCUUUUGUCAAGGGACAAAAUCAGGCUCGAGAGCCUGACCGAGGGUACUUGAAGAGAAAGCGUCGGCUAACUCCGUGCCAGCAGCCGCGGUCAUACGGAGGAUGCGAGCGUUAUCCGGAUUUCUUGGGGUAAAAGGGUUCGUAGGCGGGCUGUUAAGUCAGCGGUAAAAACCCGGGGCUCAAACCCGGCGAGCCGUUGAAACUGGCUGUCUUGAGAUGUCGAGAGGUAUGCGGAAUGCGCAGUGUAGCGGUGAAAUGCUUAGAUAUUGCGCAGAACUCCGAUUGCGAAGGCAGCAUACCGGCGGCGAUCUGACGCUGAGGCACGAAAGCGUGGGUAUCGAACAGGAUUAGAUACCCUUGUAGUC